UGGGGAAUCUUCCGCAAUGGACGAAAGUCUGACGGAGCAACGCCGCGUGAGUGAAGAAGGUUUUUCGGAUCGNAAAACUCUGUCUUUUGGGGGCGAACGUGAGUAUGGUGAACAAUCAUAGUCAGUGACGGUACCAAAGGGAGGAAGCCACGGCUAACUACGUGCCAGCAGCCGCGGUAAUACGUAGGUGGCAAGCGUUGUCCGGAAUUAUUGGGCGUAAAGAGCGCGUAGGCGGGAUAGUCAGUCUGUUGUAAAAGUGCGGGGCUCAACCCCGUGAUGGCAAUGGAAACAGCUAUUCUUGAGUGCAGGAGAGGAAAGGUGGAAUUCCCAGUGUAGCGGUGAAAUGCGUAGAUAUUGGGAGGAACACCAGUGGCGAAGGCGACUUUCUGGACUGUGUCUGACGCUGAGGCGCGAAAGCCAGGGGGAGCGAAC
rnacentral:rRNA from 1 species